CAAACUCCUGGCAAGUUAUGCUUCGAAAUUUAAAAAUAUUUUUUGGAAAAAGAUAUUGAGAUCUAUCUCUUCUUUCACACACCUUUUUUGUUUGCGAGCCUGCGAUCUUUUUUAAGAGGCACUUGAUGUAAUCAACAUUGAAUGUCCGACAAACUGUUGACAAAACUGUGGGUACGCUGUGUCUAGCAAAAUUUUUUUUCGUUCGCGCCAAAAUUAAAAAAGAUGGAGGACAGUAAUGAGACGUUGGUCCCUGAGAAUGGAGCCGCAAAUGACUGUGAAAUGGCCCAAUCCGAAGCAGAUGAAGCCCAAACAAACGAGCAAGCAAAGACUGAAAGGUUGAUGAUACAUAAAAUGGUGAAUGAGAACUUUAAAUCGUACGCUGGAACACAGGAACUUGGCCCAUUUCACAAG